AUUGAACGCUGGCGGCAGGCUUAACACAUGCAAGUCGAACGAGUGGCGGACGGGUGAGUAAUGUUUGGGAAUCUGGCUUAUGGAGGGGGAUAACUACUGGAAACGGUAGCUAAUACCGCGUACCAUAGGAUGAGCCCAGAUGGGAUUAGGUAGUUGGUGGGGUAAAGGCUCACCAAGGCGACGAUCUCUAGCUGGUCUGAGAGGAUGACCCGCCACACUGGGACUGAGACACGGCCCAGACUCCUACGGGAGGCAGCGUUGGGGAAUAUUGCGCAAUGGGGGAAACCCUGAUGCAGCCAUGCCGCGUGAAUGAAGAAGGCCUUCGGGUUGUAAAGUACUUUCGGCGAGGAGGCGUUACCCACAGAAGAAGCACCGGCUAACUCCGUGCCAGCAGCCGCGGUAAUAC
rnacentral:rRNA from 1 species